AUGGUGGGGUGUUUCCCUUCAACACCCAAGAAACUGGCAAUGACCAUUGCAUGUUCCCUCUCUGGAGCUGCCGUUUUAGCUCUUGGGAUGCACCUUUCUUAUGCCAAUGUUGAACCCCAACGUGCCCGAACUAUGGCUCGGGAUAAAUUCGUCUUAGAUACCUUGAGAAAGAAGUAUGGUUACAUUCCUCCAUCAGAGGCCCGAAGUAUGGCUCGCACUGAUUCCCCAAAAGAAAAUAGCUGA